rnacentral:rRNA from 1 species
UGCCAGCAGCCGCGGUAAGACGUAGGACGCAAGCGUUAUCCGGAUUCACUGGGCGUAAAGCGCCUGCAGGCGGUUUCGUAAGUUGGGUGUGAAAGCCCCGGGCUUAACUCGGGGAGGCCAUUCAAUACUGCGAGACUUGAGGACGGAAGAGGGGAGUGGAAUUCCCGGUGUAGCGGUAAAAUGCGCAGAUAUCGGGAGGAACACCAGUGGCGAAGGCGGCUCCCUGGUCCGUACCUGACGCUCAGAGGCGAAAGCUAGGGGAGCAAACAGGAUUAGAGACCCUGGUAGUCCUAGCCCUAAACAAUGGAUGCUGGGUGUGAGAUCGAACAGGUCUUGUGCCGAAGCUAACGCGUUAAGCAUCCCGCCUGGGGACUACGGCCGCAAGGUUAAAACUCAAACGAAUUGACGGGGGCCCGCACAAGC